UUUGCUUUUGUAUAAAUACUUAGUGUGAGAUGUGGAUGCCAUUUUCAUUUAUCGCUGUUGCUCCCCCCUUGACUAGCUUCUGAGACUUGAAGUUCGGAUUCCAGUGUCUGUUGCAGGAUUAUGUCAAGACUACAGUUUCAAGAGUAUGUUGGGGUCGCAAGGCGUUGUGAGACUGGCUGAUUUUCACUUAUCACAAAGCUAUAAAAAAAAAAAAAAAAAAAAAAAAAAAAAACCCC